AAGUCAGAAGUUUAUUGAUUUAUUGAAUAAAUAUUUCGUCCAAUUUGGACUACAACAAAAGAAUUGGCUAAAAUGCCAAAAGAAAAAAAAACAAGUUCAGACAUAACAAAAUGAAAAAAAAAAUUAUAUAAUAAAGAGAACUCAGAGCUUUCAAGAAGGAAUUAAUGGAAGAAACUCCUCCACCAAACUAUUCGAUGCUGCAAUAAUCAGCUCAGGAGUAGUGUCUUGUUGUUCGAAGAUCUUCAGAUUUCGUGCCAAUCAAAUCUUCCACAACGUUAUUGCUAUGAGGCUUUUGUGACGGUAGCCUCCUCUUGCCCUCAUCACUACUUCUGUCUAACAAUCCCAAACUUCUAAGAAGAUGCCAGGUUCCAUUUGGCAUCUAGGGCAUGUACUAUCAAAAUUGGGGAUUCUCGUCUGAAUUCGAAGAUUGACAGGGAGAGCUUCAUGGAGUGCUUUCCAACAAAAACUUUGAUUUUUGCUGCUAUUUUCAGGGACCAAAUCAAGUUCCAGAGAUGCUUUUUUGAGAAAAUUUCUGGAAGGAAGGCUCUGGGUUCAUGUUAGAAAUGAAAAGCUAUGUUAUAUCCAAAAGAUAUAAUGUAAGAUUCGUUCUUCUCCUUGUAGCAUAUAAGUUUAUCUGGACCUUGAUUGAGUGGUGAUUGUAAAAUACUGUGAGCAUCUGUAGUAGAAAAAUUUUCCAUUAUCAAUUGUUGAUUCCAGUUUCAAUUUGAUAGUAGUAGUUGGCUAACCUAGAGUAGCUGUUGAGUUGAAUCUUGUCUACCAUGUCUCUGAAUAGUUUCUUUGUUAGCUCCCCAUAAAUUUUUAUAAAUUCUAAUAGAGACUCCAAAACCCACCAUCCAUUUCAAUCCUUUUUCCAGUACUUUUCGGCCUUCUAGAAUGCUCUGCCAUCCUCAAGAUGGAUUUUUCCCAAAUUCAACAAUGACUUGGUAUUAUCAAUUGGUCUCCAUCCCUGUUUCGCUAGCAUAGCCAUGUUAAAAGCACUUAGAUCCUUAAAGUAUCGGGAAGCUUAAAAUAGCUUAAAGUAUAUAAUGGAAUGAUAAAACACUAUUUCAUGGUAAAUUUUGUAUUGAUGAUAAACCACUAUUUUAUGGUUUAUAUUGU